AAGAGACAGCAGUAGCCGCGGUAAUACAGAGGGUGCGAGCGUUAAUCGGAUUUACUGGGCGUAAAGCGUGCGUAGGCGGCUUUUUAAGUCGGAUGUGAAAUCCCUGAGCUUAACUUAGGAAUUGCAUUCGAUACUGGGAAGCUAGAGUAUGGGAGAGGAUGGUAGAAUUCCAGGUGUAGCGGUGAAAUGCGUAGAGAUCUGGAGGAAUACCGAUGGCGAAGGCAGCCAUCUGGCCUAAUACUGACGCUGAGGUACGAAAGCAUGGGGAGCAAACAGGAUUAGAUACCCCAGUAUCCCUGUCUCUUAUACA
rnacentral:rRNA from 1 species